CACACACACACACACACACACACAGAGGUCCCUUCACAACUACCUCUAGGAUCAAACAACUCUUAAUGGAACAAAUGAUUCCAUUCCCACUUGGGAAGAAGGGUUCAGAGACCCAAUCCUUGUUAAAGGGAUGUGGAGGGAGGCAGGGCCAUCCUGGUCCUCUGUGAGGCCUGGGAUCUGGUGAGAGCUCAAGAGAUGGAGCUUGACUCUUAGCUCAGAUCCUAAUGUUGUUGCUCCAUAGCAGGGAAGAACUCCCCUCCUCCCACUCCUCACCAAACAGCCCUAGGGAAGCUUCUCUGGAUCCAAAAGAAGGAAAAGUCUUGAAGACUUCUAAUGACUGAGCAACUUUGGUCGCUCAGGGAUUGGCGCUGAGAUCUGAGUUCUGAUGGACUGAGGAGGGGACUGACUGGCUCCCAAAGCACCUGGGCAGUGCCCGUGGGCACCACUAAGUCCCCAACAGGGUCCAGGAGAGGGGCAGCAUGGUGACUAAAACAGGGGGCAGUAGGAACUCCACCCCCUGGAUGUGAGUGCCCUUGGCCAAAGCACUGUUCACCUAGGGACUAGGUAAUGGUCUGGCCCUGAGCAAGGCAGUGGGAGGAGCCCAUUGGGGGGGAGGGGGAAGGGGCGGGUUGCCUGCGGACUCCAGCUUCCUGGUUAGCCCUCCCCCCACCCCUACCUCCAGGGGUUGGAGGGCCCCGGUCACACAGCGUAGAUAUGAGGGUUUCCUGCUGCUGCCCUGGGCUCAAGCAUCCUCUAAGGACCAGUAAUUCAGUUUCAGGAGGAAGACGCACUAAGGAGAUCGAGGGUCCCUGAGGCCAGCCCUGAGGAGCCUCAGCUCAAGCAGUUUCGGGGCUGAUUUCUCCGGAAAGAGGAGGUCCUGGGAACAGUUGCCUCUUCUUCCUCUCCUACAUUCUUCCCUGGAUUUAGGUCGGGAGGCUGGGAAGGUCUGUGGAUGAGGCUGGUGCCCUACCCCCUGCUCCCCGGAAGCCUGGUCAGACUGGCUUCCCCGUGGGCCCGGGCUUGGUGCUGCCGCAGUGGACGGAGAAGACAGCUAUGUGGGCCACCCCCACUUACCCACACACAAACGCACACAGCCCACCAGAUGGAUGUCCACUCUAACCCGAGGCAAGGGAGAUGAGGAUGCAGGUGCCCAGCCUUGAGCCUCCCCCAGCCCCUGCCAGAGAAUGCCUCCCCUCCCCCUGGCAGCCCUCCCUUUCCAGCUAUUAAUAACUCCCUCAGCCUGAUCAUUUACUAAAUAUACCCCCAGGCAUGGGGUUAGGCCCCCAGGCAGCCGGCUUCUCACACAGGUGCGGGACAAGGUUGUUCUCCCUCCCCAACGCGGUCCUAGCCAGAGCUAUCUCCAGCUUGGCCUCCAAUAAGGGUCACGGAAGGGCACCAGACGCUCAUGUUUAAGAAUCUUUCACAACUUCUUGUUCCCUACCACCCAUUCAUUAAACAUUCAGAGAAUUACCAAAUUUUCGAGUGGGAAGGGAUCUCAGUGGCCAUCUGAUGGGACCCAGACCUGAGCAAAAAAUCCAAUCAUCAGAACCCUCUGGGCAGCAUGGCAGAGACAAGACUAGAAAGCCAAGCUUGAAGACAAAGACCUCAUUUAACUUCUCAAUGCUCUAGGCUGGGCUCUGUGCUGACUUGCAUUAAUAUCUUCACCUGUUCCUUCAAUCUAUGGAAUCACAAGUUCCGGUACCCAUUUCCAAUGUCAGGCAUAGAGUGGGCAAUUAAUAAAUGCUUUUUGAUUAAUAGU